GGUCCUAGGCUCACCUAAGCCAGAAGAGAUUCCCCUUACUUGGAUACAACCAGGAACUACUGUUCUCAACUGCUCCCAUGACUUCCUGUCAGAAAGUUUGAUUAUCAUUAGAAGAAUGGCCAUCUUUUAAAGUGAUUCAUUGACUUGUCCCUGGAGAAAUCAUGAGUUAGAUGAGAUUGUUUAGUGGGAAGUGAAAAGACCCGUCCACGGUUUCGGAUGAGAUCCUUGUUGGACUGUGAUCCCAGAAUAUUACCCAGGCCCAGACUGUAGACAACCUUCAGAUGGAGUCCUGCCCCUACAUUGGCAGGGGGUGAACCUUUCUCAAUUUUCUUUAGCCAUGAAAUUUAUUAAAAAUGUAUGUCU
rnacentral:sRNA from 1 species